AACGUUUUACGUUUAGUCUUCGAUCAGAGUUCAGUUGAAUUUCAAUUCAACUAUACAUAUAAAACAAUAAAGAAACCAACGCCAUCAUCAACAUGUACAAAAUCGUAUUUGUCGUAGCCGUGUUCGUCUUCGCGUUCCAGGGUGCUUUCAGUAGCCCCGUUGACGAAACCAAGGUCGAAAAAGUGUCCAACUCUGAAAUUCGACCAAACAAUGUAGUGGAGAACGCCGAUACACAAGCGCCUACUACCGUAACGGAGGCAGCUACUACCACUACAGCCCCAAAGAGUGGAGCUUCCAGCUCAGAAGUUUGCAUACUGCUCGUUCAAGUUUCAUCGUUAGCGCUAAUUGCCAAGCAAAUGCUGUUGUAAAUUUAAUUAAGUAUGUAGUUUGACGAAAAAGUGUAACUAAUUUCAAAUAUACGAUUACUCACUACAUAAUAUAUUGUUUUAUUAUUCGUACUUUUAUUUUCAUACAUAUUAUAAUGUUUAUUAAUUAUUAUGAUUAAAUCAAUAUUCUAUAAGAUAAUAUUAUUGUAGUAGUUACGUCUUAUUACUUCACUAUUAGCAUAUGAAAUAUAUUAUUUUUUUUUCGAUGUAUAAUUAUAUGCAAAAUAACAAAUUGA